UACGGGGGAUGCAAGCGUUAUCCGGAAUCAUUGGGCGUAAAGCGCCUGUAGGUGGUUUAAUAAGUUUGUUGUUAAAGACUAGGGCUUAACCCUAGAAACGCAAUGAAAACUACUAGACUAGAGUAUGGCAGGGGUAGAGGGAAUUUCUAGUGUAGCGGUGAAAUGCGUAGAUAUUAGAAAGAACACCAGUGGCGAAAGCGCUCUACUGGACCAUUACUGACACUCAGAGGCGAAAGCUAGGGUAGCAAAAGGGAUUAGAUACCCCUGUAGUCCUAGCCGUAAACGAUGGAUACUAGAUGUUGUGCAUUAUGUACAGUAUCGUAGCUAACGCGUUAAGUAUCCCGCCUGGGGAGUACGCUCGCAAGGGUG
rnacentral:rRNA from 1 species